rnacentral:rRNA from 1 species
GACAGAGGCCCCAAGCGUUAGGCGGAAUCACUGGGCUUAAAGCGUGUGUAGGCGGACGCCUAAGUGUCUUGUGAAAUCCCACGGGCUCACCCGUGGAACUGCUGGGCAUACUGGGCGUCUUGGGCCAACUAGGGGCAGCCGGAACAAGCGGUGGAGCGGUGAAAUGCGUAGAUAUCGCUUGGAACGCCGAAGGUGAAAACAGGCUGCUGGGGUUGCGCCGACGCUGAGACACGAAAGCCAGGGGAGCAAACGGG